rnacentral:rRNA from 1 species
CCCAAAGCGUAACGGAGGAGCACGAAGGUUAGCUAAUCCUGGUCGGACAUCAGGAGGUUAGUGCAAUGGCAUAAGCUAGCUUGACUGCGAGCGUGACGGCGCGAGCAGGUGCGAAAGCAGGUCAUAGUGAUCCGGUGGUUCUGAAUGGAAGGGCCAUCGCUCAACGGAUAAAAGGUACUCCGGGGAUAACAGGCUGAUACCGCCCAAGAGUUCAUAUCGACGGCGGUGUUUGGCACCUCGAUGUCGGCUCAUCACAUCCUGGGGCUGAAGUAGGUCCCAAGGGUAUGGCUGUUCGCCAUUUAAAGUGGUACGCGAGCUGGGUUUAGAACGUCGUGAGACAGUUCGGUCCCUAUCUGCCGUGGGCGCUGGAGAAUUGAGGGGGGCUGCUCCUAGUACGAGAGGACCGGAGUGGACGCAUCACUGGUGUUCGGGUUGUCAUGCCAAUGGCACUGCCCGGUAGCUAAAUGCGGAAGAGAUAAGUGCUGAAAGCAUCUAAGCACGAAACUUGCCCCGAGAUGAGUUCUCCCUGAGACUUUAAGUCUCCUGAAGGAACGUUGAAGACGACGACGUUGAUAGGCCGGGUGUGUAAGCGCAGCGAUGCGUUGAGCUAACCGGUACUAAUGAACCGUGAGGCUUAACCUU